rnacentral:rRNA from 1 species
AUGAACGCUGGCGGCGUGCUUAAACACAUGCAAGUCGAACGGAUUUACAUGAAGCCUAGCGAUUGUAAAGUUAGUGGCGGACGGGUGAGUAACGCGUGAAUAACCUGCCUUAUACUGGGGGACAACAAGUUGGAAAACGACUGCUAAUACCGCAUAAGCGCACUAAAGCUGCAUGGCUCAGUGUGAAAAAACUCCGGUGGUAUAAGAUGGAUUCGCGUCUGAUUAGCUAGAUGGUGAGGUAACGGCUCACCAUGGCGACGAUGUCUAGGGGUUCUGAGAGGAAGGUCCCCCACACUGGAACUGAGACACGGUCCAGACUCCUACGGGAGGCAGCAGUGAGGAAUAUUGGUCAAUGGUCUGACGACUGAACCAGCCAUGCCGCGUGAAGGUGACGGCCCUAUGGGUCUUAAACUUCUUUUGUAAGGGAGCAAUAAGGUCUACGUGUAGGCCGAUGAGAGUACCUUACGAAUAAGCAUCGGCUAACUCCGUG